rnacentral:sRNA from 1 species
CAGCCUUGUGGUACUAUUUUCAUUUUACACACGUGGAAGCAGGCUUAGAUGAAAUGGUUAGUCUAGAUCAUAUGGCUCGUAGCCCAUGCUUUUCACAUAUGCUAAGCCAUAGUUCCUCUCUCUAGCCCUCUUUUUCUUAAGAUAGCCUGUUAGAUUUCUAGAAUAUCUUAGGAUACUCUGCAGACUGAAAUUUGGGGAUAGGGCUUUUGGUCAGCUUACCAUGUUUGUAUUUUUUCCCAAACCUUAUUGGAGCUGGGUUUUUUUUCCCCUCAGGUAUUGGCCAUGUCAAGCCGCUCAUGGUUGAGCUAUUCUUACCAAUCUCGCUUCCAUCUCACCCCCCUGUCUUACGAGACACUGGAAUUUGCAUCGGGUUUUGCCUCGGAACAGUGUCCCGAGGGCAUUGUGGCCAUCUCCACCAACACCCUACGGAUUUUGGCGUUAGAAAAGCUCGGUGCUGUCUUCAAUCAAGUAGCCUUCCCACUGCAGUACACACCCAGGAAAUUUGUCAUCCACCCUGAGAGUAACAACCUUAUUAUCAUUGAAACGGACCACAAUGCCUACACUGAGGCCACAAAAGCUCAGAGAAAGCAGCAGAUGGCAGAGGAAAUGGUGGAAGCAGCAGGGGAGGAUGAGCGGGAGUUGGCCGCAGAGAUGGCAGCAGCAUUCCUCAAUGAAAACCUCCCUGAAUCCAUCUUUGGAGCUCCUAAGGCUGGCAGUGGGCAGUGGGCCUCUGUGAUCCGGGUGAUGAAUCCCAUUCAGGGGAACACACUGGACCUUGUGCAGCUGGAACAGAAUGAGGCAGCUUUUAGUGUGGCUGUGUGCAGGUUUUCCAACACUGGUGAAGACUGGUAUGUGCUGGUGGGUGUGGCCAAGGACCUGAUACUAAACCCCCGAUCUGUGGCAGGGGGCUUCGUCUAUACUUACAAGCUUGUGAACAAUGGGGAAAAACUGGAGUUUUUGCACAAGACUCCUGUGGAAGAGGUCCCUGCUGCCAUUGCCCCAUUCCAGGGGAGGGUGUUGAUUGGUGUGGGGAAGCUGUUGCGUGUCUAUGACCUGGGAAAGAAGAAGUUACUCCGAAAGUGUGAGAAUAAGGUAAG